UACGGAGGGGGCUAGCGUUGUUCGGAAUUACUGGGCGUAAAGGGCGCGCAGGCGGCUGCUCAAGUCAGGCGUGAAAGGCCUGGGCUCAACCCGGGAAUUGCGCUUGAGACUGGGCUGGCUUGAGUGCGGGAGAGGAUGGUGGAAUUCCCAGUGUAGAGGUGAAAUGCGCAGAUAUCAAGCGGAACACCGGUGGCGAAAGGCGGCCUUCUGGGACAGUGACUGACGCUGAGACGCGAAAGCGUGGGGAGCAAACAGG
rnacentral:rRNA from 1 species